rnacentral:tRNA from 1 species
GCGCCUGUAGCUCAGAUGGAUAGAGUACUGCCCUCCGAAGGCAGGGGUCACAGGUUCGAAUCCUGUCAGGCGCGCCA